rnacentral:tRNA from 1 species
GGUGUAGCCAAGCGGUAAGGCAGCGGACUUUGACUCCGCCAGUCGCCGGUUCAAAUCCGGCCGC